rnacentral:rRNA from 1 species
AUUGAACGCUGUCGGCAGGCCUAACACAUGCAAGUCGAGCGAGCGGCGGACGGGUGAGUAAUGUAUGGGGACUGCCCGAAACAGGGGGACAACUACUGUAAACGGUAGCUAAUACCGCAUACUAGCGGAUAACCCAUAUGGGAUUAGCUAGUAGGUGAGGUAAUGUCUCACCUAGGCGACGAUCCCUAGCUGGUCUGAGAGGAUGAUCAGCCACACUGGGACUGAGACACGGCCCAGACUCCUACGGAGGCAGCAGUGGGGAAUAUUGCACAAUGGGCGCAAGCCUGAUGCAGCCAUGCCGCGUGUAUGAAGAAGGCCCUAGGGUUGUAAAGUACUUUCAGUCGGGAGGCGUUACCGACAGAAGAAGCACCGGCUAACUCCGUGCCAGCAGCCGCGGUAAUAC